CAUAUUGUUACAUACUACUCAGGA
rnacentral:piRNA from 1 species